rnacentral:rRNA from 1 species
CAUGUAGGCUGUUACGUAAGUGUGGAUUUAAAGACCCAAGCUUAACUUGGUGUAUGGUCUGCAAACUGCGUGACUAGAGUUUGGAAUGGGAAACUGGAAUUCCGCGUGUAGGGGUGAAAUCUGUAGAGAUGCGGAAGAAUACCGGUGGCGAAGGCGAGUUUCUGGUCUAUAACUGACGCUGAUAUGCGAAAGUGUGGGGAGCGAACAGGAUUAGAUACCCUGGUAGUCC